rnacentral:rRNA from 1 species
GAUGAACGCUGGCGGCGUGCCUAAUACAUGCAAGUCGAGCGAACAGACGAGGAGCUUGCUCCUCUGACGUUAGCGGCGGACGGGUGAGUAACACGUGGAUAACCUACCUAUAAGACUGGGAUAACUUCGGGAAACCGGAGCUAAUACCGGAUAAUAUAUUGAACCGCAUGGUUCAAUAGUGAAAGACGGUUUUGCUGUCACUUAUAGAUGGAUCCGCGCCGCAUUAGCUAGUUGGUAAGGUAACGGCUUACCAAGGCGACGAUGCGUAGCCGACCUGAGAGGGUGAUCGGCCACACGGGAACUGAGACACGGUCCAGACUCCUAGGGGAGGCAGCAGUAGGGAAUCUUCCGCAAUGGGCGAAAGCCUGACGGAGCAACGCCGCGUGAGUGAUGAAGGUCUUCGGAUCGUAAAACUCUGUUAUUAGGGAAGAACAAAUGUGUAAGUAACUAUGCACGUCUGGACGGUACCUAAUCAGAAAGCCACGGCGAACUACGU